rnacentral:tRNA from 1 species
GCGCGCGUCGCCAAGCGGCCAGGCGCCGGAUUGCAAAUCCGGUAUACGUGAGUUCGAAUCUCACCGCGCGCUCCA